rnacentral:rRNA from 1 species
UACGUAGGGGGGCAAGCGUUGUCCGGAUUUAUUGGGCGCAAAGAGCGUGUAGGCGGCCAUACAGGUCAGCUGUGAAAACUCGAGGCUCAACCUCGAGACGUCGGUUGAAACCGUAUGGCUAGAGUCCGGAAGAGGAGAGUGGAAUUCCCGGUGUAGCGGUGAAAUGCGCAGAUAUCGGGAAGAACACCCGUGGCGAAGGCGGCUCUCUGGGACGGUACUGACGCUGAGACGCGAAAGCGUGGGGAGCGAACAGG